rnacentral:tRNA from 1 species
GACUGCAUAGCACAGUGGCAGUGUGUUCGCCUCGUGACCGAGAGGUUGCGGGUCCGAAUCCAGCUGCCGUGU